rnacentral:rRNA from 1 species
UACGUAGGGUGCAAGCGUUGUCCGGAAUUAUUGGGCGUAAAGAGCUCGUAGGCGGUUUUGUUGCGUCGGCUGUGAAAAUCCCGAGGCUCAACCUCGGGUCUGCAGUCGAUACGAGCAAACUAGAGUGUUGCAGGGGGAGACUGGAAUUCCAGGUGUAGCGGUGAAAUGCGUAGAUAUCUGGAGGAAUACCGGUGGCGAAGGCGGCAUCCUGGACCGGCAUUGACGCUGAUGAGCGAAAGCUAGGGGAGCAAACGGG